AUGCAAAGAACUUUGAAAAGAGAGUUAAAAAGUACCUGAAAUUGCUGAAAGGGAAGCGAAGGAAACCAGUGUCGUGCUUGGCCAUACUUCCCUGUCCACCUGUGGACUGGGCGCUGUGACCGGCUUGGGUUUGCCUUGGUUGUGCCGUUUGGAAGAGCGCCUACAGAGUUGAUGUGGGUUGCUAGCGUUCGGCCUGACUGAGGCAGACGAAAUGGUUUUCUUUACCCCGUCUUGAAACACGGACCAAGGAGUCUAACAUAUGUGCGAGUACAGGGGUGGCAAACCCCCGUGCGCAAUGAAAGUGACAGUGGUUGGAUAUUUGCACAAUCCGCCGGCCUCAAUCCCUCGGGAGAACGGUCUGAGUGUGAGCAUACAUGUUGGGACCCGAAAGUUGGUGAACUAUGCCUGAAUAGGGUGAAGCCAGGGGAAACUCUGGUGGAGGCUCGUAGCGAUUCUGACGUGCAAAUCGAUCGUCAAAUUUGGGUAUAGGGGCGAAAGACUAAUCGAACCAUCUAGUAGCUGGUUCCCUCCGAAAUUUCCCUCAGGAUAGCUGCGAUCGAAUUUCAAUUUUAUCA
rnacentral:rRNA from 1 species